rnacentral:rRNA from 1 species
AAUAUUGGACAAUGGGGGCAACCCUGAUCCAGCCAUGCCGCGAGUGUGAAGAAGGUCUUCGGUUUGUAAAGCACUUUAAGUUGGGAGGAAGGCCCUUAGGUUAAUACCCUGAAGUUCUGACGUCACCAACAGAAGAAGCACCGGCUAACUCUAUGCUAGAAGCCGCGGUAAUACAGAGGCUGCAAUGUUUAAUCGGAAUUACUGGGCGUAAAGCGCGCGUAGGUGGUUCAGUAAGAUGGGUGUGAAAUCCCCGGGCGUAACCUGGGAACUGCUUUCAUAACUGCUGAGCUAGAGUACGGUAGAGGGUAGUGGAAUUUCCUGUGUAGCGGUGAAAUGCGUAGAUAUAGGAAGGAACACCAGUGGCGAAGGCGACUACCUGGACUGAUACUGACACUGAGGUGCGAAAGCGUGGGGAGCAAACA